AUUCAGCGGCGGACGGGUGAGUAAUGCCUAGGAAUCUGCCUGGUAGUGGGGGACAACGUUUCGAAAGGAACGCUAAUACCGCAUACGUCCUACGGGAGAAAGCAGGGGACCUUCGGGCCUUGCGCUAUCAGAUGAGCCUAGGUCGGAUUAGCUAGUUGGUGAGGUAAUGGCUCACCAAGGCGACGAUCCGUAACU
rnacentral:rRNA from 1 species